UGCCUCAGCCUCCUGAGUAGCUGGGACUACAGGCACCCGCCACCGUGCCUGCCUAAUGUUUUGUAUUUUUUAGUAGAGAUGGGGUUUCACCGUGGUCUUGAUCUCCUGACCUCGUGAUCCGCCCGCCUUGGCCUCCCAAAGUGCUGGGAUUACAGGCGUGAGCCACCGCACCCGGCCUCUUCAUUUCUUAUUAUGCUUAAUUUGCUUUAGUGGUUGGCAAAAGGCCUACCUGUAGGUGUGGGAGCUGGGGGAAGGUAUUCCAAACAAAGGAUUAAAUGUCAGGAAUGUACAAGGAGCUCCUAUAAAUCACCAGUGAAAAGACAACUCCAGCAGAAAAAAAUGGGCACAGGGAAUGGAAGGCAAUGUAUAGGGGCAGACCCAACACUCCACCAAACCACUGAAGAGAUAUUCAAAGUUAGUCAUCAGGAAAACACAAGCUAAAGCAACAAUUAGACAUCACUCUGCACCAAUGAGAUUAGCAACACAGUGGAAAGGUGGCGGAUGGAGAUGCGGCGGCCUCUGUGCGCAGCUGGUACGGCAGUCCUGGAGAGCCACCUGGGACUACUCAUGUGUGUUCCUGCCCCACAGCCCAGAAACUCUGCUUCUGGGGGUGUGUUCCCAACAAAAUUCUCACCCGGGUCCUUAGGAGACACAUGUAAGGAUGCUUACUGGUGUGAUGGAUGGGGUGGGGACUAAUGUCCAUCCCUGGGAGGUGUGCAGGGACAAUGUAUUGGAUGACACUGUGGAUCAGUACAGAGCAGGUUCAUAGAACACAGACCUGAGAAAUAGCUGAGUGGAAGAAUUAAGAAACUGCUGUAAUCCCAGCACUUUGGGAGGCCGAGGUGGGCAAAUCACAAGGUCAAGAGAUUGAGACCAUCCUGGCCAACAUGGUGAAACCCUGUCUCUACUAAAAGUACAAAAACUAGCUGGAUGUGGUGGUGUGCACCUGUAGUCCCAGCUACGCGGGAGGCUGAGGCAGGAGAAUCACUUGAACCUGGGAGGCUGAGGUUGCAGUGAGCCAAGAUCGUGCCACUGCACUCCAGCCUGGCGACAGGGCGAGAGUCUGUCUCAAAAAAAAAAAAAAAAAAAGAAAGAAAAAAAAAAAGAAACUGAUGUGAUAGUCCUGUUCACGGAGACUAAAACUACAUGCACACAAAACCAAUACGAUUGCAAAAAUAUGUACAAACAAGAUGUGCAUCGCAAGUGUUGCCUGUGGGGGUGGGGGUAGGACACAAGGAUUGGCAAUAAAAUAAAAUGUAAAAUGAAGUAAGAUGGGGAUAAGGAGCCUCAAGUGUUCAUCUGGAGGAGAUGUGGAUUUUAGGACACAUAGCCCUUCUUGUCUAAGGUUUUAGACCUGCUCACCAGUGGCCCCGGGAGGCAGGAGGUUGUGGAGUUGGCUUCAGAAGCCUGCCUCCCACCUCCAAGCUCAUAUUCUGGCAGGAACCACUUCUACCCUGGAUGGAGUGAGUCGGCCAACAACAUGAGACAUUUUGAUGCUUUUUUUCCCUAUCACAGCGCAUUUUUACUCAGAUACAUGAUCUCCUUGGGACACCCUUUUAACUCGUGUUUAUUCUACAUGCCCCAUGGUACAGUUAAUUUUCAUCGGCAAUCUGAAAGCCAGCAACAGCCGCAGAGCUUGUCUAAUCACCAAGGAGUCAAAGACA
rnacentral:lncRNA from 1 species